GAUGAAGAACGCAGCGAAUUGCGAUAAGUAAUGUGAAUUGCAGAUUUUCAGUGAAUCAUCGAAUCUUUGAACGCACAUUGCGCCCCCUGGUAUUCCGGGGGGCAUGCCUGUCCGAGCGUCAUUGCUGCCCUCAAGCACGGCUUGUGUGUUGGGCCUCCGUCCUCCUCCCGGGGGACGGGCCCGAAAGGCAGCGGCGGCACCGCGUCCGGUCCUCGAGCGUAUGGGGCUUCGUCACCCGCUCUUGUAGGCCCGGCCGGCGCUUGCCGACACAUCAAUCUUUUUUCCAGGUUGACCUCGGAUCAGGUAGGGAUACCCGCUGAACUUAAGCAUAUCAAUAAGCGGAGGA
rnacentral:misc_RNA from 1 species